rnacentral:rRNA from 1 species
AGAGUUUGAUCCUGGCUCAGGAUGAACGCUGGCGGCAUGCCUAACACAUGCAAGUCAACUGUGCUUAUAGCAAUAUAAGUAUGGUGGCGGACGGGUGAGUAACACGUAAAUAACCUGCCCCCUAGACAGGGAUAACUAGUUGAAAGAUUAGCUAAUACCUGAUGGACUUAUUCGAGGAAGAUAGAAUAAGUAAAGCCGAA